rnacentral:tRNA from 1 species
UGCCGAAAUAGCUCAGUUGGGAGAGAGCGUUAGACUGAAGAUCCUAAAGGUCCCCUAGUUCAAUCCCGGGUUCGGCAG